rnacentral:rRNA from 1 species
UACGAAGGGGGGCUAGCGUUGCUCGGAAUGACUGGGCGUAAAGGGCGCGUAGGCGGAUGGCACAGUCAGAUGUGAAAUUCCCGGGCUUAACCUGGGGGCUGCAUUUGAUACGUGUUGUCUUGAGUUCGGAAGAGGGUCGUGGAAUUCCCAGUGUAGAGGUGAAAUUCGUAGAUAUUAGGAAGAACACCGGUGGCGAAGGCGGCCCACUGGAUCGGUACUGACGCUGAGGUGCGAAAGCGUGGGGAGCAAACAGG